CGUGCGGUAGCUGGGCCCAGCGGCCGCCUCUUCGGCCGCCGGGGCAUCUGUUGCGUCCCCGGCGGCUUCGUGGGGCUCUGAGGGAGCUGCAGCCUCUUCCAUUGCACCUUUUGCCCCCUGAAAGGGUGCCAAGACGUGUCCGGUGCCCCCUGCGUGCGGGCUUGAAGCCCGGAGGCCAAGGAGCCGUCCCGGAGCUCCAGACGGGAAGGUGCCUGCAACUCAGAUAGGAUCAUAUUCAUCCUUGGACCCUCCAGCCCUCUCACCAGGACACCUGGGAGGCCUGCAUCUUCACUCCCAGCUGAUUGGUUAAGGAGCUGUCGGGGAGGGAGACUCCUGAGCCAGUGUGCCAAUGACAGUCCCUCCAAGCACGCAUCCUGCCUGAAACCUCAUUAGAGCGGAACGGGCUUCUGUGGAGCGCAGCGGCCUGGCGCCCAGACGGCAGCAUCUCGACUGCAAUCGGCACAGCGCAGCCGGCCGGCGGGCACAGCCUGCGAGUGUCCUGGUGCCAGGUAGGGACGACUCCGGGGGACAAGCCCACAGAACCGGCAGGCAGGCUGCUGUCUGCAUUCCCGGAGGGGGUCCCCGGCCUCCCCUCUCCAUCCAGGGACACCUACUCGCUGGCUUAGCCCCUCAGCUCUCUGUCUGCUCCCUGACAAGGUGUCACAGCUC